CUACGGGGUGCUGCAGUGAGGAAUAUUGCGCAAUGGGGGAAACCCUGACGCAGCGACGCCGCGUGGAUGAUGAAGGCCUUCGGGUCGUAAAAUCCUGUCAGAUGGAAAGAAAUGCCAGAUGUCUAAUAUAUGUCUGGUUUGACGGUACCAUCAAAGGAAGCACCGGCUAACUCCGUGCCAGCAGCCGCGGUAAUACGGAGGGUGCAAGCGUGGUUCGGAAUUACUGGGCGUAAAGCGCGCGUAGGCGGCUAUUUAAGUCAGAUGUGAAAGUCCACGGCUCAACCGUGGAAGUGCAUUUGAUACUGGAUAGCUUGAGUACUGGAGGGGAUGGUGGAAUUCCCGGUGUAGAGGUGAAAUUCGUAGAUAUCGGGAGGAAUACCGGUGGCGAAGGCGACCAUCUGGCCAGAUACUGACGCUGAGGUGCGAAAGCGUGGGGAGCAAACAGGAUUAGAUACCCCCGUAGUC
rnacentral:rRNA from 1 species